rnacentral:rRNA from 1 species
AACGAACGCUGGCGGCAUGCCUAGCACAUGCAAGUCGAACGAGACCUUCGGGUCUAGUGGUGCACGGGUGCGUAACGCGUGGGAACCUGCCCUUAGGUUCGGAAUAACUCCCCGAAAGGGGUGCUAAUACCGGAUAAUGUCUUCGGACCAAAGAUUUAUCGCCUUUGGAUGGGGCCGCGUUGGAUUAGCUAGUUGGUAGGGUAAAAGCCUACCAAGGCGACGAUCCAUAGCUGGUCUGAGAGGAUGAUCAGCCACACUGGGACUGAGACACGGCCCAGACUCCUACGGGAGGCAGCAGUGGGGAAUAUUGGACAAUGGGCGAAAGCCUGAUCCAGCAAUGCCGCGUGAGUGAUGAAGGCCUUAGGGUUGUAAAGCUCUUUUACCCGGGAUGAUAAUGACAGUACCGGGAGAAUAAGCUCCGGCUAACUCCGUG